AUUGAACGCUGGCGGCAUGCUUUACACAUGCAAGUCGAACGGUAACAGGGAGCUUGCUCCGCUGACGAGUGGCGAACGGGUGAGUAAUGCGUCGGAACGUGCCGAGUAGUGGGGGAUAACGCAUCGAAAGGUGUGCUAAUACCGCAUACGUACUGAGGUAGAAAGUGGGGGACCUUCGGGCCUCACGCUAUUCGAUCGGCCGACGUCUGAUUAGCUAGUCGGUGAGGUAAAGGCUCACCAAGGCGACGAUAAGUAGCGGGUCUGAGAGGAUGAUCCGCCACGCUGGGACUGAGACACGGCCCAGACUCCUACGGGAGGCAGCAGUGGGGAAUUUUGGACAAUGGGCGCAAGCCUGAUCCAGCCAUGCCGCGUGUCUGAAGAAGGCCUUCGGGUUGUAAAGGACUUUUGUCCGGGAGCAAAUGCCUGGUGUUAAUAGCACUGGGAGCUGAGAGUACCGGAAGAAUAAGCACCGGCUAACUACGUGCCAGCAGCCGCGGUAAAAC
rnacentral:rRNA from 1 species